UGCGAGCAUAGUAUAGUGGUAAUGCUACAGAUUCCAAACCUGUAAACGUGGGUUCGAUUCCCACUGUUCGUGU
rnacentral:tRNA from 1 species